GCAGGCGUGGCGGAAUUGGCAGACGCGCUAGACUUAGGAUCUAGUGGGCAUCCCCCGUGAGAGUUCGACUCUCUCCGCCUGCACCA
rnacentral:tRNA from 1 species